UACGUAGGCAGCAAGCGUUGUUCGGAAUUACUGGGCGUAAAGAGUGUGUAGGCGGUGUUCUAAGUUUGUCGUGAAAUCUCCCGGCUUAACUGGGAGGGUGCGGCGAAAACUGGAAUGCUAGAGGAUGGGAGAGGUAAGCGGAAUUCCUGGUGUAGCGGUGAAAUGCGUAGAUAUCUGGAGGAAUACCGGUGGCGAAGGCGGCAUCCUGGACCGGCAUUGACGCUGAUGAGCGAAAGCUAGGGGAGCAAACGGG
rnacentral:rRNA from 1 species